GCACAUUCCGGCGAGUUCGUGCACGCUGUUUGCUUGAGAGCUUCCUGCGUUUUCUGCGUUCUUUGUGUGCUUCGCUGUGACAUCUUUGGAAUAUUCCUGCGUGUUGCUCGCUUUUUAUGGGCUUGUUGCCUCGAAGAUCGCCAUGAUCGCCUCCGACUCAGCGACAUCAAGGAUUCAAAAUGAGCUGGGAGACACCCAAGCUGGAAUGCUAAGGUUCACAUAGGUUGGAGGAGUGCACAUUGAGAAGGUUAUCCUGGCACAGCUUACCAUGGCCUGCCAUGGUGGACCAGGAAAGUUUGCAAGGGCAUUGCUUCACCAUGUGUUCACAGAGGAGGAGCUCAUGGGCCAUUUGGGCUUUGGAAAUAACACCAAGGGGCAAAAGAGGCUCUUGACCCCAACAGGGUCAGUGCUGUUAUAGGCAAGUACCAUAUAUCCUUUCCGGUUGCAUUUUUACAUUCACAUUUUUUUCUAAAAUUAGCAACUUGCCAUUGGCUAAUAAACUACAUUCAAGUAGCCCGUGUGUGCAGUUGUGUGCUACAAUAGCCUACCAUUUGGAAUGACUGUUCAUAUGAUCUUAAGUGCCUAAUGCCGCCAUACUCAAAUGCUUCUAAAAUUUAAAGGCUGCCUUCACUGCCGAAAGUUUUUAGCGGCUCCACCACAUAAAAUGAGCUGCAUUUGCGCAUUAGCAGUGCUACUUGGCUGUCAUUGCAAGGAAUAGUCUGUGAAGCACGCUCCAAAUCUAUUGGCAUGGAGGACAUGUUUAAGUAGCCUGAAAGUGUUAUUCUAAUACACGAAUUGCGGAGAAGCUAUGCUCAAGUGUGGUUACUGCUCAGCUCGAGCAGGAGCACGUUCACCAAAUUGCAGAAAUCAAAACAGC